rnacentral:lncRNA from 1 species
CUUCGGCUGGGUGCUCCCCCCACCACGUGGAGCUCGCCCGAGGAGGGGUCCUCGUCGGGGUGCUCCCCCCCACCACGUGCAGCUCUGCCCGAGAGGGGCUCUCGGCUGGGUGCUCCCCCCACCACGUGCACUCUGCCGCGAGGAGGGGUCUCGGCUGGGUGCUCCUCCCCACCACGUGCGCUCUGCCCGAGGAGUGGUCUCGGCUGGGUGCUCCCACCCCCCCACCACGUGCAGCUCUGCCCGAGGAGGGUCUCGGCUGGGUGCUCCCCCCACCACGUGGAGGCUCUGCCCGAGGAGGGGGUCCUCGGCUGGGGUGCUCCCCCCACCACGUGGAGCUCUGCCCGAGGAGGGUGUCUCGGCUGGGUGCUCCCCCCCACCACGUGAGCUCUGCCCGAGGAGGGGUCUCGGCUGGGUGCUCCUCCCCACCACGUGGAGCUCGCCCGAGGAGGGCUCUCGGCUGGGUGCUCCCCCCACCACGUGGAGCUCUGCCCGAGGAGGGCUCUCGGCUGGGUGCUCCUCCCCACCACGUGCAGCUCUGCCCGAGGAGGGGUCUCGGCUGGGUGCUCCCCCCACCACGUGGAGCUCUGCCCGAGGAGGGCUCUCGGCUGGGUGCUCCCCCUGCCACGUGGAGCUCUGCCCGAGGAGGGGUCUCGGCUGGGUGCUCCCCCCCACCACGUGGAGCUCUGCCCGAGGAGGGGUCUCGGUUGGGUGCUCCCCCCCACCACGUGGAGCUCUGCCCGAGGAGGGGUCUCGGCUGGGUGCUCCUCCUCACCACGUGCAGCUCUGCCCGAGGAGGUGUCUCGGCUGGGUGCUCCCCCCCACCACGUGGAGCUCUGCCCGAGGAGGGGUCUCGGCUGGGUGCUCCCCCCCACCACGUGGAGCUCGCCCGAGGAGGGGUCUCGCCUGGGUGCUCCCCCCCCACCACGUGGAGCUCGCCCGAGGAGGGGUCUCGGCUGGGUGCUCCCCCCCCCACCACGUGGAGCUCGCCCGAGGAGGGGUCUCGGCUGGGUGCUCCUCCCCACCACGUGCAGCUCUGCCCGAGGAGGGGUCUCGGCUGGGUGCUCCUCCCCACCACGUGCAGCUCUGCCCGAGGAGGGGUCUCAGCUGGGUGCUCCCCCCCCCCCCACCACGUGGAGCUCGCCCGAGGAGGGGUCUCGGCUGGGUGCUCCUCUUGAUAGGUCAAGUCCCUCCGGCAGCCAAGAGCUGA